rnacentral:tRNA from 1 species
GGUGGCUCAGUGGUUAAGCGCUCGGCUGCUAACCGAAAGGUUGGUGGUUCAAGCCCACCAGCCA